GAUAAGCGAACCCCCUCCGUGAUUGCAGUCUCAGACUAAUUUGCCUAUGUAGCGGACGAGACAUUAGCCGAAUAAUUUAGUUUUAAUCGUCAUGCUACCGGACUAAGACUCCACCAGGUAAAUGCCACCCUGGCCCAAUCAGGGGCUCUUUCAAAACCGUUAAAAAAACAUGAUCAUUGUUAUUGGACAAAAUCAGAUAGUCCCGCCUCCAUUUAAAACUCCUUAUGCCGUUUUGUGCCUUCUGACCAACGUGAACGUGUGUUGGUCACGUGGUCGUGGGGUGGGGUCAACAGGUAGGUGAGUUGCAUGAGUUUUUCCGUUGAUAAAGUGCAACAUUGCUCUUGCUGGCUGUAACUACUGCCGUGUGCUCUCAAGACAACAUGGAUUUCGAUUUGGCUUCAGCUGUAGGUAAAGAUGAUCAGGUGAAAAAGGAUGAUGCCUCUGGCCAGGAACAGAACGCCCUAUUUGGAUGGGGGAAGAAGAAGGACAAAGAUGGGGAUAAGUGUGUGUCCAAGGACAAAUCAAAGGACCAUGACAAAUCGAAGGACUGUAAGCACCAUGACAAAUCAAAGGACCAUAAGGAGGACAAAGACAAGUCUAAGGAACAUAAAGACAAGAAACAUGGUGACAAGAAGGACAAAGGUCAUAAGAAGAAGAAAGACAAGAAGCCAAAGGAGCAUAAGGACAAAGAUGAUGGGUCAUCAUCUUCCUCGUCCAGCAGCGAUGAGGAUGAAGGCAAGAAGAAGCAUCACUGAUUCUGGUGCUGUGAGGAAGUGCUACUGCCGGUGAACUCUUACAAUGUUUUGUACUGCAAUGUUGCAUGCAUGAUAUUUACUGUGUACUGUUUCCUUGUUGCUCCUGAUCAUGUUUUGAUGUGCCAGACUGUAAAGUAGUGGUUUUACAACCGAAUAUUAAAUAACCCAACAACCAGGAUAUAUGGUGAAUGUCAGACUUCUUUCCUCCCUAGUAAAAAGUCUAAUGUCCACCAGAAGGGGGAGGUGUUCUUCAUUGAAUGUUUAUUUAAUAGAUUGAAUUCAAUUGCUUUCAAGUUUUUUUUGUUAAAUUGUCCAGUUCAAAAGAUUGAAUUGCAUUCUGUUUUGUUUAUUUUAGCACAACUUAUGGGAAAGCUCAAUGUUCUUAGUUUGAAAUAAAAAGCAUAAGGGUGCAUAUACCCAAAGGUUUUCUCAACAGGGGAUAGAUAGUGUUGGGAGUGGGACGUAGGUACCGUGCAUGUUACUUCAGUACGUUCGUAUUGUACUCCAUCUAUGCAGAGUUUAGAUGGCAGUCCAUUCCUUGUCUAACCUGAGUUGACUUAGUGAGCAGGUGCACUGGCCUUGAGUAAAUUCAUUCUACAAAAACUAACUAGGAAAAGCAAAGCUGUACAUGACUGGGGUACACAAAAUGCGUGACAUGGAAAUGGGAAAUGGGAAAUGUUUCCGUAACACUGGCAUCAAUAUUGAAGUGGACCUGAACUCUAACAUGGGUUGUCAGGAAAGAGGAAUUAAAACAUUUAACAUACGGAAAAGGUUCAAAUACUUAAUCUUUUAUACCGGGCGGAAAAAGAAAAUGGAGCGAUUGCAAAAUGUAUCAAUAAAUAAAUAGUGUGUGGAUGCUGCUAUUGCAACUCCUAUCACACUAGGCUGUAUCACUGUUGGGAUGCAUAGGAGGGGAAAUGAACAGAUAUACAGCCUGUCUUUCUAGUGAACUUGUCAGCAGAACUAGACGGUCACUUUUCAUUUAUGUUUUCAUGGUUUAUGAAAUGAAAAACAAAUGGUAUGCUCAUAUGGUGUAUUGGCUACUAAACUCAGCAAAAAAAGAAACGUCAACUGCGUUUAUUUUCAGCAAACUUAACAUGUGUAAAUAUUGGUAUGAACAUAAGAUUCAACAACUGAGACAUAAACUGAACAAGUUCCACAGACAUGUGACUAACAGAAAUUGAAUAAUGUGUCCCUGAACAAAAGGGGGGGUCAAAAUCUAAAGUAACAGUCAGUAUCUCGUGUGGGCACCAGAUGCAUUAAGUACUGCAGUGCAUAUCCUCCUCAUGGACUGCACCAGAUUUGCCAGUUAUUGCUGUGAGAUGUUACCCCACUCUUCCACCAAGGCACCUGCAAGUUCAGACAUUUCUGGGGGGAAUGGCCCUAGCCCUCACCCUCCGAUCCAACAGGUCCCAGACGUGGUCAAUGGGAUUGAGAUCCGG
rnacentral:lncRNA from 1 species